CAAAAUAGAGAUAAAAAUCUGAAAAUCAAAAAUGGCUAAGAAUUUAAGAGAAGACUAUUGUUGCGUUGAAUUUCCAUCUCUGAUUCUUGAGGUUUUCAACUUCUGAAGCAAUUUUUGAUUCAUUUGGAGUUUGAAAAAUGGUUUGAAUUAGAAGCCAUAGCUGAUUUUCUGUGAUUUGAAAUGGUUCUAAUAUUUUGCUAAUUUUGGAUUUAAAAAAUGCACUGAAAUUGCUAUUAUGUUGUUAAUUGCUGCUACUAGAUUGAUGUUGAUCUCACCUUCUUCUUCUAAUAUUCUGUAGUUAUUUUGGUUGCAUCCAGGUACACUUUCGAAUCAUUGCAAUGGAAAUGUAAAUAUUGAAUGAGAAGUGGUGUUUCAAUAUCCAUAUUUCUGCUCUUUUCUAAAGUCUAAUUUUAGUAGUUUUGUUGUGCUUUGAUAUUUAUCAAUUGCAGUUUUAAUUGAACUUAGUAUUAUUUCAAUGAAGGUCAUGUAGUUGUUUGUAAUUGUAAAAUUGGACUUUCAUUUUAUUUCAGUAGUUUCAAGUGUAUUCGAAUGAAUUUUUAGCUUAGUAUUAAAGGCCUAAUGACAUGAUAUACUACUGCUUGGUCACUAGUUUAUGUACUGAAACCAAUGUUAUAAUUAGCUUAGAUGUAUCUUUGUGUUGGAUGUACUUGAAGAGUAGAUAAAUUUUUCUCAAAUAAUAUCAAUUUAAGGGCUCUUAAGGUGUCAUCUUUGAGGGUUGACUGGACUACCCUGCACUUAGUAUAUCAGUAUAUGCAAAUAGGUGUAUGCAUGUUAGUUAAAAAAAUCUGAUCCAUGGAAUUGGUCUAUUAAUUGUCUUUGAUCUAAUGUUUGGAGUUGAACAAGGUUAAGUCUAUGUUAGCAAUUGUAUUCUUCUGAAAUCAUGUUGGUGAUGGGUUGGAUUCAAUGUUUUGCUUCCUUUUAUAUUUCUGAUAUUGAAUCCAUGUUAGCAAUUUCUAUUUUGAAGUCACGUUGAUAUUUGGUUAGAAGUCAUGAAUGAUGUUAUACUUUAAAUGGUGAAACAAACUGUAGGUGAGCUUUAUAACAUCAUGUAUGGCAUCUUUGUCAUAGAAUGUCAUUUGGUAUUAAAAAUACGCUUCAUAUCCGUUUAAGAUUGGCAAAAGUGGUCAGAACUUGUUCAAUCUCAAGAUUUCUCAUAAAGAACGUAAUUUGUUUCAAGUGAUGGUCAUGAAUCACGCAGAUGGGCCUUUGUCAUUAGCCAAGUUAUGUCUGAAGCCUCUUAGCUGAUCUAGUCUGGUUUUGGGCCUUACCUCGAGCCUAAUUCCCUUGUAUUGCUUGGCUAUUGUUACCUAAGUCUAGGAGCUGUUUCUUGUCCAAAUAUGGGCCAAUAUAGUGAUUGCAUAGGUUGCUCGUAGCUAUAUAUGCAGAACUUAAUUUAAAUGUGAACUCCUUAGUUUUUCUUUUAUUAAAUGUGAUCCACUUUAAUUGGUGGGGGUGGGCUAUAUUAGAUAACUUAAAUAGUUUAUUGCCAUCCAAAUGUAGUUUGAAUUC
rnacentral:lncRNA from 1 species